rnacentral:rRNA from 1 species
GCGUAGGCGGAUAUUUAAGUGAGAUGUGAAAUACCCGAGCUUAACUUGGGUGCUGCAUUUCAAACUGGAUAUCUAGAGUGCGGGAGAGGAGAAUGGAAUUCCUAGUGUAGCGGUGAAAUGCGUAGAGAUUAGGAAGAACACCAGUGGCGAAGGCGAUUCUCUGGACCGUAACUGACGCUGAGGCAUGAAAGCGUGGGUAGCAAACAGGAUUAGAUACCCUGGUAGUCCACGCCGUAAACGAUGAGUACUAGGUGUAGGGGGGUCCAACCCUCUGUGCCGCAGUUAACACAAUAAGUACUCCGCCUGGGAAGUACGAUCGCAAGAUUAAAACUCAAAGGAAUUGACGGGGGCCCGCACAAGCAGCGGAGCAUGUGGUUUAAUUCGAAGCAACGCGAAGAACCUUACCUGGACUUGACAUCCCCUGAAUAGUGCAGAGAUGCAUGAAGCCCUUCGGGGCAGGGAGACAGGUGGUGCAUGGUUGUCGUCAGCUCGUGUCGUGAGAUGUUAGGUUAAGUCCUGCAACGAGCGCAACCCCUAUUAUUAGUUGCUACCAUUAAGUUGAGCACUCUAGUGAGACUGCCCGGGUCAACCGGGAGAAAGGUGGGGAUGACGUC